GAUAAACGCUAGCAGCAGGCUUAACACAUGCAAGUCGAGGGGCAGCAUAGAUUGUAGCAAUACAAUUGGUGGCGACCGGCGCACGGGUGCGUAACGCGUAUGCAACCUACCCGUCACAGGGGGAUAAUCCGGAGAAAUCUGGUCUAAUACCCCAUAACAUAUGGAUCGGCAUCGGUUCAUGUUGAAAUUUUCGGGGGUGACGGAUGGGCAUGCGUAGCAUUAGCUUGUUGGUGAGGUAACGGCUCACCAAGGCGACGAUGCUUAGGGGGACUGAGAGGUUUUCCCCCCACACUGGUACUGAGACACGGACCAGACUCCUACGGGAGGCAGCAGUGAGGAAUAUUGGUCAAUGGGCGCAAGCCUGAACCAGCCAUGCCGCGUGCAGGAUGACGGCUCUAUGAGUUGUAAACUGCUUUUGUACGAGGGUAAAGUGGGUUACGUGUAACCUUUUGAAAGUAUCGUACGAAUAAGGAUCGGCUAACUCCGUGCCAGCAGCCGCGGUAA
rnacentral:rRNA from 1 species